AACCUAGCACACCUGCGGUGUGUACCUGCGGAAGGAUCAUUACUGAGUUUACCGCUCUAUAACCCUUUGUGAACAUACCUUACUGUUGCUUCGGCGGGCAGGACGGCGGCCUCGGCCCCGGCCUCCCGGCCUCCGCCCCCUCUGCGGGGCGGCGGGCGCCCGCCGGAGGAUAACCAAACUCUGUUUUAACGUCGUCUCUUCUGAGUGGCACAAGCAAAUAAAUAAAAACUUUUAGCAACG
rnacentral:misc_RNA from 1 species